rnacentral:rRNA from 1 species
AUUGAACGCUGGCGGCAUGCCUAACACAUGCAAGUCGAACGGCAGCACAGCAGUAGCAAUACUGUGGGUGGCGAGUGGCGGACGGGUGAGGAAUACGUCGGAAUCUGCCCAGUCGUGGGGGAUAACUAGCCGAAAGGUUAGCUAAUACCGCAUACGACCGAGAGGUGAAAGCGGGGGACCGCAAGGCCUCGCGCGAUUGGAUGAGCCGACGUCGGAUUAGCUAGUUGGUGGGGUAAAGGCCUACCAAGGCUUCGAUGGAUAGCUGGUCUGAGAGGAUGAUCAGCCACACUGGAACUGAGACACGGUCCAGACUCCUACGGGAGGCAGCAGUGGGGAAUAUUGCGCAAUGGGCGAAAGCCUGACGCAGCAAUACCGCGUGAGUGAGGAAGGCCUUCGGGUUGUAAAGCUCUGUCAGGGUGGAAAAAUGGCAAGUGGUCUAAUAGGCCGCUUGAUUGAUGGUACACCCAAAGGAAGCACCGGCUAACUUCGUG